rnacentral:lncRNA from 10 species
CUAGGGCAGGGGAUACACUAGGGGAAACCAGCUGAACCCCUGAGUCAGGUGGAGACUUGGAAAACUUUUAUGUCUAGCUGGAGGAUUGUAAAUGCACCAAUGAUCACUCUGUGUCUAGCUUGGGGUUUGUAAAGGCACUAAUCAGUGCUCUGUGUCUAGCUAAUCUAGUGGGGACUUGGAGAACUUUUGUGUCUAGCUAGAGGAUUAUAAAUGCACCAAUCAGCACUCUGUGUCUAGCUCAGGGAUUGUAAACACACCAAUCAGCACCCUGUCAAAACGGACCAAUCAGCUCUCUGUAAAAUGGACCAAUCAGCACCCUGUCAAAACGGACCAAUCAGCUCUCUGUAAAACAGACCAAUCAGCUCUCUGUAAAAUGGGCCAAUCAGCAGGAUUUGGGUGGGGUCAGAUAAGGGAAUAAAAGCAGGCUGCCUGAGGCAGCAGUGGCAAUCAGGUUAGGUUCUGUUGUGGGGCUUGUAUGGCUUGUUUUUUUUAAUAUUCGCAGUAAAGCUUGCUGCUGCUACUCAUUUGAGUCCGCAGUGCUUUCAUUUGAGUCAGCUGUACCACUGACUGCAGAGGUUUGCUGCUUCACUAUUGAGGCCAACGGGAGUACGAACUCACUGAGAGGAAUGAACAACUGUGGACGCGCGGCCUUGAGAGCUGUAACACCGCGAAGGUCUGCAGCUUCACUCGUGAAACCAACAAGACCACGAACCCAGCAGAAGGAAAAACUACGAACCCUUUCGAACAUCAGAAAUAACAAACUCUGGUCACACUAUCUUUAAGAAUUGUAACAGUCACUGUGAGGGUCCGCAGUUUCAUUCUUGAUGUCAGUGAAACCAAGAACCCACCAAUUCCGGACACAGCACCAGGUCCAGAUUGGCAAGAAAGGACCCUGGGCUUGCUCAACCGAGAGGGACAGGAGAACUGGGAGGGCAGCCUUAAGGAAGGGUGUGACCCAGAGGCUGGGCCAGGGGGCGGAACCAUGAAGGACGAGCGUAAUGCCUGGCUCCUUCCACCUCUGUUCAUCACCACUCUUUUUGCUGUGAUUCCAACAACAUUUCCUAUACGUGAAAACAUUUUGAGGGAAGACUCACGAGAAUCGUUUCACGAACUUAUAAGCAAGAGUUCAGAGAAGUCCCAACGUAGAAAGUGGAAUUCAUGGUGGAUUCUUUUGAUGGGGAUUUUCCUGCUUUGAAAGGAAAUAAUAGGACGUUUUCAAUGUGGAACAAGGCUGAGGUUCUGACUGCUGGCCUAAAAGAACCAGGAUUCCCCCAGUUGGACUCUCACAUACCUGUGGACCUCAAGUGCUCCUUCAUAUGUGUUUUCAAUGAACUUCAUCCAAACCACAUCAAAUGGCUGUGUAUAACACUAAGGAAAUGUCAUAUUGUCUCCUAGUCCUCUACCAUGUCUUUUACACACACUGAAGAUCAUGUGAAGAAAGAGAGAAGAUGGUCAUCUAUACACCAAGUUAAACGACCCUCAGAAGAAACCAACCCUAUGGACAACUUGAUCUUGAACUUCUAGCUUUCAGACCUGUGAGAAAAUAAAUUGCUGUUGUUUAAAUUUAAAAAAACAGUCUUUUAAAUCAUGUAUGAAACAAAGUGUUGUUACAAACCAUUGUUAUAAUAGUACUAGCUUUUGUAAUUGCCUAUUUGUCCAUCUUUACUGAGAUCUUUAUUUCUUCAUAUGGCUUUGAGUUACUGAGUAGUGUCCUUUUAUUUCAACCUGAAGAACUCCCUUGAGUGUUUCUCUUAGGGUAUGUCUAGAAGUAACAGAUUACCUUAGCUUUCGUUAAUCUGGGAAUGUUGUAAUUCUCCUUCACUUUUGAAGGACAAUUUUUACCAAAUAUAGAAUUUGGGGUUGAUAUUUUUAUUUAUUUUAGCACUUUGAAUAUAUCAGCCCACUGCCUUUUGGUCUCCAGUAUUUAUGAUGAGACUCUCUUUUUUUAAUCUCAUAAUUUACUAUUUAUUAUUUUUAAAUGUUUCUAGAGAUAUACAGUAAUUAAACAUAUUUGUGGGAUACACAUGAUAUUUUGAUACAAGAAUAUACAAUGUGUAAGCUGUAUAUUCAAUAUACAAUCAGUGAUCAAAUCAGGAUAUUUAUUAGGAUAUACAUCAACUUGAACAUUUAUCAUUUCUUUGUGUUGGGAGUAUUUUAAAUCUUCUUUACUAGCUUUCAUGAAAUAUAAAAUAUUGUUAACUAGUCAUUCCACUGUGUUAUCAAACACUAGAACUUAUUCCCCCAUCUGCACUAUAUCUUUGAACCUAUAAUCUUAUUGAUGAUCUUUUUAUGUGAUGAAUCACUUUUCUAUUGCAACUUUCAAGACUCUGUGUUUGGCUUUUGACAGUUUGAUUAUAUUGUGUCUCAGUGUGGAUCUUUUUGAGUUCAUCCUACUUGGAGUUACUGAGUUUCUUGAAUAUUUUUACUUAUGUCUUUUAUCAAAUUUGUAAAGACUUUGGCCAUCAAUUCUCUUAAUAAUCUAUCUUUCCUGUUUUCUCUUCUGUUUCUUAGCCUACCACCACACGUGUUGUUCUGCUCAACAGUGUUCCAGAAGUCCCUUAAGCUCUGUUCACUUUUCUUCAAUCAUUUUACUUUCUGUUCCUCAGAUUCAAUGAUUUCCUUUGUCCUAUUUCAAAUUUGUUGAUUCUUCUUCGUUCUCAAAUCAGCCUUUGAAUCUCUCUAGUGAAUUUUUUAUUUCAGUUAUAACACUUUUUAGCAUCAAAUUUAUUGUUUCUUCAUAGGUUUUCUAUAUGUUUGCAAAUAUUUCUAUUUUGUCCUUAUGUCAUUUUCUUGGCUUUUUCUGCAUCUUUUGUUAGCUCUUUCAGUAUCUUUAAGAUAAUUGUUUUUGUUUAGUAGAUCUGACAUCAGGUCUUUUUCAGGAGCUGCUUCUUUUUUUCCCAUUAAAAUGGGCCACACAUUCCUUUUCUUUUGUAUGUCUCUUGAUUUUUUUUGUUAAAAAUGGACAUUUGAAGCUAAUGAUUUGAUAACACUGGAAAUUAGGUUCUCUCCCUUCCCUGGGGUUUACUGGGCUUUUGUUUUUGGUUUUGUUUUUUUGUUGUUGUUGUUGCUUACUGUUUUUGUUUUUUUAAUUGUUGUAGGCUGUCUCAGUGCUGAGGGUUAGCCUGAGCUUAAGGUUAGGCUAACCUGACCUUAAGGUAAACUUAAGGUCUUCUCAGGUCUUUCUGAGCCUGUGCCUUUCCCUGGGCAUACAUAGUCACCUUCCAAUAUCCCCCAUAUAUGCAGUCACUUCGGAAUGUCCCAGUCUCUAAUGGAUGGCUCCCAAAAGGGGAAAAGAUAAAAAUUAAGGAGAAGAAAAAGAAUGCUGGGUUUUUAAGUACCCUGGAAGUCACCUCAGCGAGAGAGGGGCUAGCAAUAAUGAGGGUGGGGCAAUAGCAAUGGCCACCUGCCUCUUUGUCUGUACUUCUGUGAUGAGAAGCAGCAAUUAAUAAUCACAGCACAAAUACUUGGAGGACUGGGUCCUUAUUGCCCACCCUGGCUCCCACAAGCUGUAUGCAGUCUUCUUCAGGUCAUGGGCACAGCUGCCUGCCACAGGGCUGGGGCGGUCAAUAGGUAGUUACUACUGUGCUGAGUCUAAGUUGACCAAAACUAACUGAAAUUUACUUCUAAGACAUUCCCUGGAAGUUGCAAGCCUUCAAUAGACUCCAGAAUUCCAAAAUAGUUACAUCAGGCAGAUUCUGCCAGUGCAGUUGUUGUCUGGAUGGGUAAACAGAUUCCUGGAGCUUCCUAUUUCAGCAUCUUGCCAGAAUCUUCUCCCUAUGUGUAUUUAUUUUAUCACAUCUUGAGAUAGUUUUUGUUUCAGAACUUUGCUAUCCACUAUGCUGAGUAGAACUUCAAGAGCUGUCCCUGUGUCUAAUAGACUAGAAGUGGUAGAUUUCAGCCUGGGAGUACACACUGCGGUCACAACCAUCCAUAUGGCAGGAAGUAGUCUACUGAGUUUUUGGCGGCCAUGAUUCUUUGGCAUUUCUGGUUUGGUGGUCGUUGAUUCCUAAAUAUUAAAGUGGUUCCCAGCAUGUAUCAGUUGUUUGUUUGCUAAAUGACCUUAAAUGUUCUGAUACUUGCAGAAAUGAAAAAAGCUAGUUUCUCUGUCAAUAAGACUCUGAUCUGAAUGUGAAUAAAUAUGCAUGAGCAGUAACUUAAUGCACAUCUGGAAAAUAUGCUUUGUUAGAAAUCUAUCACUAUUUUUUUUAAUUUGGAGAGUUUUUCUCAAGAACAAUAGAAUGUAAUAAAAUUUAAGGAAGUGCAUUUUACAAAAAGUAUCAAAGACUUUAUUAAACAUCAACUCUUUACUUGAAGAAAUAAUGUUGUUUAAAAAAAUCAAUCUUGUGAAUUGUCUCCUGGGAAGUUUGUCAGUGAUUUCUUUCUUUCUUGUUCUUUUUUGUCCUUAUAUAAAGUAACCAAGCUUUAUUCCUAUAAGCUGUAAAUUUUAACAGAAAGCAGAUUCACAUGUAUUUAUUAACAUUCCUAAAUUCUCAACACCACUUAUUAAUCC